AGGCGCAGACGCAUCGCGCUGCCGCAGCGUGGGCCAGAGGGAGGAGGGAGCUCCCCGCGCGUCCCUACCAGGUGCCCGUAGACAUCCGCAGGCUGGAGGUAGAAGGUGGAGUUGAGCAGAUCUUCCAGCUUGCGCGGGACGUCGUUCUCCUGGUAGUACGCCAUCGCCUGCUGCUUCAGCUUCUGCAGGUCCCUAGUGAUCCCGCCUCUGCGGCCGCCGUCUUCAUCUCCCAUGAUGGAGAGUGUCGGCAUGUACGGGUUCUGUGGCUGCAAAGGAAAGAGCAAGCUGAAGUGUGACUCCAGGUGGGAAAUAGCAGCAGCAGCAGCAGGUAGGACGCGAGCUCACUGUACUGUAAGUACUGGUGUAUGCAGAGAGGGACCAGGCACCCUGGGAACAGGCACGCUUACGCUUGUGUACACCAGCGACAUCGACUUCACAGCACAGUCAGACCCACGAAGGAAAGUGUG
rnacentral:lncRNA from 1 species